AACGAACGCUGGCGGCAUGCCUAACACAUGCAAGUCGAACGAAGCCUUCGGGCUUAGUGGCGCACGGGUGCGUAACGCGUGGGAAUCUGCCCUUUGGUUCGGAAUAACAGUUGGAAACGACUGCUAAUACCGGAUGAUGACGAAAGUCCAAAGAUUUAUCGCCAGAGGAUGAGCCCGCGUAGGAUUAGCUAGUUGGUGUGGUAAAGGCGCACCAAGGCGACGAUCCUUAGCUGGUCUGAGAGGAUGAUCAGCCACACUGGGACUGAGACACGGCCCAGACGCCGACGGGGGGCAGCAGUGGGGAAUAUUGGACAAUGGGCGAAAGCCUGAUCCAGCAAUGCCGCGUGAGUGAUGAAGGCCCUAGGGUUGUAAAGCUCUUUUACCCGGGAUGAUAAUGACAGUACCGGGAGAAUAAGCCCCGGCUAACUCCGUGCCAGCAGCCGCCGUAA
rnacentral:rRNA from 1 species